rnacentral:rRNA from 1 species
UACGUAGGGUCCGAGCGUUGUCCGGAAUUACUGGGCGUAAAGAGCUCGUAGGUGGUUUGUCGCGUUGUUCGUGAAAACUCACAGCUUAACUGUGGGCGUGCGGGCGAUACGGGCAGACUUGAGUACUGCAGGGGAGACUGGAAGUUCCUGGUGUAGCGGUGAAAUGCGCAGAUAUCAGGAGGAACACCGGUGGCGAAGGCGGGUCUCUGGGCCGAUGACUGACGCUGAGGAGCGAAAGUGUGGGGAGCGAACAGG